UUCCACUGUUGGCGAUCAUGGUCACCCUCGAUCGCUGAUAACAAGUAAGACCAGUGGCGCUGGCCCUCUUUAUAUCUGGGACAUACGUUGCCCUCAGAAACUCCGGAGGUGGAUUUAGGGGGCGGGCUGCUUCAUGGGAGCCGAUGGGAGCACCUGACAGCCCAUCCACUCCUGGGCCGUGUAGCACCAUCUGCCAGGGUUGAACACGCACUCACCCCAGGACACGGCAGUUCCACUCCUAGGCACUGACCCAAGGCAGGUGGAAGCCUGCAUCAAGCACUAGUUCACGGAUGGCGAUACCCUCUGCUCAUAGACACCGAGCUGCUCAAGCUCAUAGUAAACCACUCGAGAGCAUCAUGAAAGGCCAACCACCAGCCAGACAAGGACACCUACGUUGCAUCCAUUCAUUCAACAGACCCUGCAUGAAUAUGCCAUGUCUGCACCAAAAUGUAUGCAGAAAGGUGACUGAUAACACUCUGCAACCACGGCUCAGUGUGUCGGGCAUAGAACAACCACCGAGACCAGUCCCUGUGUGCACGCGGAGGCCACUGCUCUCUGACCUAUCCAUUCCUGGCUGGAAGAUGGGGAACUCAUGGGCAUGGCGAGCCUCCUAUGUUUGUGUGCAUGUGUGUGUCUGUGAGUGUGUGUGUCUGUGUGCGUGA
rnacentral:lncRNA from 1 species